UUUUAGCCUGAGAAAUAGCUACCACUUCUACGGAGGGCAGCAGGCGUGCAAAUUGCCCAAUGUCAAAAAAAACGAUGAGGCAGCGAAAAGAAAUAGAGCCGGCAGUGCCACUGGCAUUGCCGUUUUCAAUGGGGGAUAUUUAAACCCAUCCAAAAUCGAGUAUCAAUUGGAGGACAAGUCUGGUGCCAGCACCCNCGGUAAUUCCAGCUCCAAAAGCGUAUAUUAAUGCUGUUGCUGUUAAAGGGUUCGA
rnacentral:rRNA from 1 species